UACGUAGGGGGCAAGCGUUAUCCGGAAUUAUUGGGCGUAAAGAGCUCGUAGGCGGUCUGUCGCGUCUGCUGUGAAAACCCGAGGCUCAACCUCGGGCCUGCAGUGGGUACGGGCAGACUAGAGUGCGGUAGGGGAGAAUGGAACUCCUGGUGUAGCGGUGGAAUGCGCAGAUAUCAGGAAGAACACCGAUGGCGAAGGCAGUUCUCUGGGCCGUAACUGACGCUGAGGAGCGAAAGCGUGGGGAGCGAACAGG
rnacentral:rRNA from 1 species